rnacentral:lncRNA from 1 species
UUUAGAGACAACUUCUCACUGAAUUGCUUAACACCUUACUUUUGCUGAGGCUCGCUUUGAACUUGGGAUCUUCCUGUCUGGGCCUCUAAGCUGCUGGUAAUACAGGCCUGGGCCCCCAUACCCAAUUCCAGUGCACUUUUUCUCAUAGUCAUUCACAUAAAAUGCUUGCUAAAGAUUGAACUGUAAACAAAAUAGACACAGAUGUUAAUCUCUUCCUUUCUUUUGUCUUCUCACUUACUAUGGAGGACAUUCUAAAAGAGUCUGUACUUUAUGAAUAGCUAUGAGAAAAGAAAGAAAAAAAAGCCAGGACAAACAUCUGUGAAAUCACUACCAGCUUAAGAAAUAGAAAGUUUUCAUUAUCUUUGAAGCUCCUUCUUUGUGCUUUACUUAUUCUAUUCUCUCUCCUUAUUUAGACAUUGAAGCAAAAUAUGCCAUAAAAUGAGUACACAAGAAAACAUUAAAGAUGCCAUUUGAAUUGGUAGACAUCUUUAAAGUAUGUAUGGCUUGCCUGAUGGAUUUAGAAUGGGAGAUUAUGAACUUUAAGACCAAGAAGGGGGAUUCAAGUCUAAUGUCAUCCUUUUAUUACAGAAUAUUAAACAGGGCCAGAAGAUUUUUAAAAAUUGUUCAAAGUCAGACAACAACCUACAGAAAAUGCUGAAGCUUGAACCCAGGUCUUCUACUUCUCAAUUUGUUAGUUGGGAAACAAUUACUCUACAGUAUUGUCAUCAUGAGAUGCAAAAUAUUGGGUGGCUUAUAUGUUUACUAAGAAAUUUUUACAAAACUAUCCUCAGUUACUAUUUGUAGGAGAAAGUACAAUAAUUUUUUUAAGUUUUAUUUAGGAUCCCAAUGCAGAUAACAAAUGGUAGCCAUGUCCUUAACGGAAUAUAACUUUAGUUCUGUUUGCAAAUAUGACAGCUUUUUUCCGCAAAAGUCACAAGGAAAGCUAUGAAUCAGAACAUUAAAAGAGUCAAAAGGAUGAUUCCAUCAGGGAACAAACAUUCAGAGAUUUUGAAACCACAUUAUCCAUCACACAUCUAUUAACUGAAAGGCAGAUCUGGGGACCAUAUGAUGCCUAAGUUUACGGUGAUUUCUGCCACCACCACAAAUCUGAUGACAGGGAAGGACUCUGGAGACUAAGGAGUCAUUAAGGCAGUUCAAAGCCUCUAGAAUAAACCAGAAUAUUCUAAUACAGCCUUCAGUGUGGAACAGAUUAUAGAACUUCUUCUAUAUUGUCUUUAUUUUAAUUUUUCAGCCUAAUAGCUUUAGUAUUUUCCAAGUGACAAUGACACAGGCCUAGAGCACCUCGUGUAGAAAACAGUCAAGUUAAGCAAGGCCCUAAUUGUCUUCCUUUUGAUAUUGGGAACAAAUUUGCCUCUCCUAAAUUUUUUGGCUCCCACAGAGCAACUGCAAAGAGUAGGGCUGCUUUCUCCCUAAUGACUUUUCUAAUGGUUUCAUAGAACUGUUUGUAUUUCAAGAGCCUGAACAUGCCGUGUCAUAUUUAAAGUCAACUGAUUUUUACUGUUUACCUUCAAUUAGCCACGCACUCCACUGAGUGAUUUUUUUAAAAAAAUUCUGUAUUUAAUUUUAAAAUCUUACAAGUAAUACCUCAAUUUAAAAAUAGCAGAAAUACAAUGGAGUCAUUAUAUAGUUUGCUCAAGAUUACAAAGCCAAAAAAAAAAAAAAUGGCAGAAAUGUGAUUUGAAUUUCAAGAUUGGGGCUCAGUCCUCCUAUCUUGUCACUAAUCAUUUUGACAGUUUACCUCUGAAACACACAAUUCUAGUAAGACAAAAUACU